rnacentral:rRNA from 1 species
UACAGAGGGGGCGAGCGUUGUUCGGAAUUACUGGGCGUAAAGGGCGCGUAGGCGGCCUGCUAAGUCGGACGUGAAAGCCCACGGCUCAACCGUGGAGGGUCAUUGGAAACUGGGGAACUUGAGUGCAGAAGAGGAAAGUGGAAUUCCAAGUGUAGCGGUGAAAUGCGUAGAGAUUUGGAGGAACACCAGUGGCGAAGGCGACUUUCUGGUCUGUAACUGACACUGAGGCGCGAAAGCGUGGGGAGCGAACAGG